rnacentral:rRNA from 1 species
UACGUAGGGGGCAAGCGUUGUCCGGAUUUAUUGGGCGUAAAGAGCGUGUAGGCGGCCGCACAGGUCCGUUGUGAAACUGGAGGCUUAACCUUCAGACGUCGAUGGAAACCGUGCGGCUAGAGUCCGGAAGAGGAGAAUGGAAUUCCUGGUGUAGCGGUGAAAUGCGCAGAUAUCAGGAAGAACACCCGUGGCUAAGGCGGUUCUCUAGUACGGUACUGACGCUGAGACGCGAAAGCGUGGGGAGCGAACAGG